AUGCUCGCUUCUCUAACACAUAUACUACAAUUGGAAUGAUACAGAGAAGAUUAGCAUGGCCCCUGCACAAGGGUGACACACAAAUUCAUCAAGCGUUCCAUAUUUUU